rnacentral:tRNA from 1 species
GCGCGGGUGGCGGAAUGGCAGACGCACAAGCAUGAGGGGCUUGCGCCGCAAGGCUUGGGGGUUCAACUCCCCCCUCGCGCACCA